rnacentral:rRNA from 1 species
GAUGAUCGCUGGCGGCGUGCCUAAUACAUGCAAGUCGAGCGAACAGAUGAGGAGCUUGCUCCUCUGACGUUAGCGGCGGACGGGUGAGUAACACGUGGAUAACCUACCUAUAAGACUGGGAUAACUUCGGGAAACCGGAGCUAAUACCGGAUAAUAUAUUGAACCGCAUGGUUCAAUAGUGAAAGACGGUUUUGCUGUCACUUAUAGAUGGAUCCGCGCCGCAUUAGCUAGUUGGUAAGGUAACGGCUUACCAAGGCAACGAUGCGUAGCCGACCUGAGAGGGUGAUCGGCCACACUGGAACUGAGACACGGUCCAGACUCCUACGGGAGGCAGCAGUAGGGAAUCUUCCGCAAUGGGCGAAAGCCUGACGGAGCAACGCCGCGUGAGUGAUGAAGGUCUUCGGAUCGUAAAACUCUGUUAUUAGGGAAGAACAAAUGUGUAAGUAACUAUGCACGUCUUGACGGUACCUAAUCAGAAAGCCACGGCUAACUACGUG